UAUUGUAGGCAUGCAUAGGGUCAUAUAUGGAAAGAGGCAUUGCAUGGCGCCGAAUCUAUAGGGGUAGGGUGGAACGCAACAGCUCUGAAACGUUUUAUUUGAUCACUAAUACAUUUUCUCUCAAUGUACUCUAAUAGGAUGCUUCGUUGGUGAUAUGUGGUGAUGCGUGAUGGUGCGUGAAUGAGAAGUCCUGACGGAUACCCUCGAUAAAUGAAGGAACCAAGAAUUCUCCUCACGUCGGUGGGCUCUGAGCAAAGUGGACUGUAUAAGGAAUGGCGGUGCUAUGACCGGAGACUCACCUCGACACCUCAUCUCUCCCCAAUACGAACAUCCGAGCCGAAACGUGGUGGCGCUCAGCCCUUCAUCUCCCCAAAA